AUGAGCCUUCGCUAUGACCCGCAGGUCAUGGUUCAAUACAUUGAGGCUCUCGAUCUCACUGUCCAAGCUCUUAUUGCCGAGCUGUACGCCACUUGUACUCGUCUCUACAACGCUCUGACACAGUUGCUGCUAGCAGCCAGCGCAAGGAUACAACCAGAGUACAUCCUUUACCCGCGCAGGACAGAGCUGCCACCAGGUCUUGAGUGGUCUGCUAUUGGAGGUAGUACUCCUUCGCGUGGAACUCUUCUUCCAAUCCGGGACCAGGUUCUGGACCAGAGUGUUCAGGGAGCACAGGCUCCUCAUAUCGAGGGUAAUCUGCUUCAUUGUCACCUGUAG
rnacentral:rRNA from 1 species